GAUGGACGCUGGCGGCGUGCCUAAUACAUGCAAGUCGAGCGAACAGACGAGGAGCUUGCUCCUCUGACGUUAGCGGCGGACGGGUGAGUAACACGUGGAUAACCUACCUAUAAGACUGGGAUAACUUCGGGAAACCGGAGCUAAUACCGGAUAAUAUAUUGAACCGCAUGGUUCAAUAGUGAAAGACGGUUUUGCUGUCACUUAUAGAUGGAUCCGCGCCGCAUUAGCUAGUUGGUAAGGUAACGGCUUACCAAGGCAACGAUGCGUAGCCGACCUGAGAGGGUGAUCGGCCACACUGGAACUGAGACACGGUCCAGACUCCUACGGGAGGCAGCAGUAGGGAAUCUUCCGCAAUGGGCGAAAGCCUGACGGAGCAACGCCGCGUGAGUGAUGAAGGUCUUCGGAUCGUAAAACUCUGUUAUUAGGGAAGAACAAAUGUGUAAGUAGCUAUGCACGUCUUGACGGUACCUAAUCAGAAAGCCACGGCUAACUACGUG
rnacentral:rRNA from 1 species